rnacentral:rRNA from 1 species
GACGAACGCUGGCGGCGUGCCUAAUACAUGCAAGUCGAACGCAGUGGGGACGGGUGAGUAACACGUGGGUAACCUCCCGUCAGAGGGGAUAACACUUGGAAACAGGUGCUAACCCGAUAACGAUGGAUGGAGCAGCGGUGCAUGGGCUAUUUGGUGAGGUAACGGCUCACCAGGGCCACGCUGCAUAGCCGACCUAGGAGGGUGCUCGGCCACACUGGGACUGAGACACGGCCCAGACUCCUACGGGAGGCAGCAGUAGGGAAUCUUCGGCAAUGGACGAAAGUCUGACCGAGCAACGCCGCGUGAGUGAAGAAGGUUGUCGGAUCGUAAAACUCUGUUGUUAGAGAAGCGGUAUCUAACCAGAAAGCCACGGCUAACUCCGUGCCAGCCGCCGCGGUAAUAC